rnacentral:rRNA from 1 species
UAGAGAUAGAAGUUACUCGGUACAUCGGUGACAGGUGGUGCAUGGUUGUCGUCAGCUCGUGUCGUGAGAUGUUGGGUUAAGUCCCGCAACGAGCCGCAACCCCUAUUGUUAGUUGCCAUCAUUCAGUUGGGCACUCUAGCGAGACUGCCGGUAAUAACCGGAGGAAGUGGGAUGACGUCAAAUCAUCAUGCCCCUUAUGACCUGGGCUACACACGUGCUACAAUGGUUGGUACAACGAGUCGCGAGUCGGUGACGGCGAGCUAAUCUCUUAAAGCCAAUCUCAGUUCGGAUUGUAGGCUGCAACUCGCCUACAUGAAGUCGGAAUCGCUAGUAAUCGCGGAUCAGCACGCCGCGGUGAAUACGUUCCCGGGCCUU